AUUGAACGCUGGCGGCAGGCCUAACACAUGCAAGUCGAGCGGAUGAAGGGAGCUUGCUCCUGGAUUCAGCGGCGGACGGGUGAGUAAUGCCUAGGAAUCUGCCUGGUAGUGGGGGAUAACGUCCGGAAACGGGCGCUAAUACCGCAUACGUCCUGAGGGAGAAAGUGGGGGAUCUUCGGACCUCACGCUAUCAGAUGAGCCUAGGUCGGAUUAGCUAGUUGGUGGGGUAAAGGCCUACCAAGGCGACGAUCCGUAACUGGUCUGAGAGGAUGAUCAGUCACACUGGAACUGAGACCCGGUCCAGACUCCUACGGGAGGCAGCAGUGGGGAAUAUUGGACAAUGGGCGAAAGCCUGAUCCAGCCAUGCCGCGUGUGUGAAGAAGGUCUUCGGAUUGUAAAGCACUUUAAGUUGGGAGGAAGGGCAGUAAGUUAAUACCUUGCUGUUUUGACGUUACCAACAGAAUAAGCACCGGCUAACUUCGUG
rnacentral:rRNA from 1 species